UGCACCCCCCAGAAUAUCAAAGAAAAACAGUUGGCAAGGCCUUCAGCACAUGUGCAGCAAAUAUCCACAGGAUCAGGAACUAAAAUUAUCAAAUGUGAAGCUUUCAGUCUGGAAGUAAAAUGAAAAAGGAUAAAGCAUAAGAAAUUGAGUUGCCAGGAGCACCUUAAACAAGCAAAUCAAAUUUCAAAUAAAUUAAUCUUUACAAUAUCUGACAUUGUGCAUUCAAAAUGAAGAUACAUUCCUAAUCACACUCUCUGAGACCCUGCUGGAGGAACUGAGCUGUGGACCAGAGAUGCUGGAAAGAGAAGGAAAGAAAAGGACAAGAAGGAAAAACCAGAGCAAAAAUGAGAACAAGACAGAGAAGAAUGUGAAGAGAGUGUAAGAGGGUGCUGGGACAACUGGUGGGAGACCGAAAGAGAAAAAGAAUAAGGCUUAAUAUGGAGGGGUCAGUGACAAGAGAAAAGGCUUACAUCUGAAAAGAAAGAAAGAAAUGCAUUUAGUGGGAAAUAGAAAAGCACCUGUAUUAUUUGCCUCAGUUUCUGCUCACAGAGAUUGUUGUAAGUAGCUACCUGUCCCUUGGUGUAGGCAUUUGAUUUUAAAAAUCCCUGUCAUUCUCGCUGAAGUGCUAACAAAAAGUAAGGAACUUGGUGGAGGGCUGGGAAACUUUUAAUGGAGGGUAAUGUUCCUUGAAUAGAUACGGUCUAUCUGGAAUUAGAGUAAAGGUAUUACAUGUUGUUGUUCUUGCCUCUCAAGAUGGUAGAGGGGAAGAUGUCUGGGGGGACACUUGAUGCCAUUACUGUGUGAAAAAUGCUUUGAAUUAUGGUAGGAUUUUAGAAAUCCUGGCUCAUUGUUUUCUAUUUGACCUCCAUAAUGGAGAUCAAACUUGGUGUUUUUUCCCUGUGGUUAGCCAGCAUCAAUGCCUUUGUCUUCCCCACCUCAGACACCUCAGGGAAGACAUAGUUGUAGUGAUAUAUUUUAUUCUCACUCACUCCUAAUCAAGACCUUGAGAGAUUGUGAGAUUCUGGUUCUGCCUGAUGGUGCAUUCAGGAGACCUGAAUUCUGGUUUCAACUGGCACUAAUUAGUUAUAACAUGUCUAUUGAUUCUUUCAUAAUUUAACAAAAAUGUGUCCACCUCUAAUUAUGUUAGGUACUUGGAGUAAGAAUAUUUAACCCCUGACAUCAAGGACGUCACAGUCUAAUGAGAAAUAAAAUCUGAAAACAGUUUUGUGGCAUGGAGAGCUAACUACUGUGAUGGAUAUUUCAAAGAGUACCAAGGACCCUGGACCUGGUCUGAGGUGACAAGAUGCCUUGGUGCAUUGGGAGAUUACCUCACUGCAAUGAUAGCCUCCAAAUAUAUUUCCAGGAAGCUUGUCCCAGCCAGAGACACACACAGAAAGGCCCACAGACCAAGUGAAGAUGUACAUAUCAACCUGGUUUAUUAAGUUGAUUAGGAACAUACAGUAAGAAAGGGAAUUACAGUAGGUUAAUAUGCUAGAAUAGGUAGCAAACAGGCAGGAAGGGCCAUGCUACCCAAAUCCUGGAGUACACAGGUUCACCGUGACUCUGCCCUCCAGCAGCCUUCUUUGCUGAUGGUGUGGUUAAGAGGUCCAAAGUGAGGGUUAGCAAUGAUGUAGGGUUCCUGGAGCUAAAUUAACUUGCUCUGUUAGAAAAGGCAAAUACUCUUGUCCGUAGCUGGGCUUGAUAUUAGCCUCUGAGCGGCUGUGGGUUUUAUCUUUAAGUCUUGGCCAGAGGACAAGUGGGCCAAGUUGAAUGUCACCAACAGGGAGCUGAAGACCUCAUGAAUAUGGAAUUCCCUGAGAGUUCAUGACUAUCUGAUGCUUACAUAGCCUUUCUGUCCAUUCCUACUUACUUUAGUGAUGUCUAAGAUGUCUUACAGGUUACUUACUUCCAUUCUUAAUGUCAUCUAUUUUCUUUGUUUCUCUUAUUCUCUUCAGCAGAAUGGAAUAUUCAUAAAUCUAACAGGAAGCAUACAUUGCAGUCUUCCUAAAGUACCCUUUAUCUCAGCUUUAGUCUUCAAGGAUGUUUGGGGUGAACCAGAUGAGGAGUAGAAAGGGGAGGAGGAAGGAAAGACACUGGGAGUGGCGUGGAUAAAGGCAGGGAGGCAGGAGCGUGUAUGACCUGCUCAGGGUCCUGUAAGGAAUCUUGCAUGGCUGGAAAUGGAAUGGGUGUGGGAACGGCUGGAAAUGAUACAAAGUUUAGAUCACUAACUGUGUGACAUGCUAGAGAAUUUGGGUUUAGCUCUAAAUGGAGUUGGGGAAACUGAAGAAUGUUAAACAGGGAAAAGACACAAUCAGAUUUAUAUUUUAGACCUAUGAGCCUGUGGACGGUGCAGGGGAUGGGUUAGACAGUUAUGUGAUUAUAUUUAGGAAGUUCUUGUGUCAGCCCACAAUAUAUGUCCUAUAAAUGCAUCAGUUUACUUAUGAGAACUUAUACCAUUGCAGUAGUUAUGGGGUAUGUGGACAGUAGAAUAUAAA